UACGUAGGGUGCGAGCGUUGUCCGGAAUUACUGGGCGUAAAGAGCUCGUAGGUGGUUUGUCGCGUUGUCCGUGAAAACUCACAACUCAAUUGUGGGCGUGCGGGCGAUACGGGCAGACUGGAGUACUGCAGGGGAGACUGGAAUUCCUGGUGUAGCGGUGGAAUGCGCAGAUAUCAGGAGGAACACCGGUGGCGAAGGCGGGUCUCUGGGCAGUAACUGACGCUGAGGAGCGAAAGCGUGGGUAGCGAACAGG
rnacentral:rRNA from 1 species